AGAUAUUACAACUGGAGUGUGGCCAUGCCGAUGCUUAUUUCAUUCAUGGUCUAUCAAAGACCUCUACCUAAGGUAAAUUUGAUUGGUUUUUUGACAGCACAAGAAAGUACGAGUACUAAAUAAGUUUAUUUUGCUGUCUAGAUUUCUGUUGAUGCUUUGAUGAAGGAACAUAUGCCGAAGAAGUCGAAGCGUCGUGGAUAUUCCUCGUGGUUUUCAUCAUGGAGGUCGCCGCCGCCAGAACAUGUUAGUUUAUUUGAAGGUUUUUUUAUGUUUUUAAAGAGUACGGGCAACACAAUAGACCUUUCCCCUUAUAACCAAAAUUUUGAUCUAGG
rnacentral:lncRNA from 1 species